rnacentral:lncRNA from 1 species
CUUAUAAAGAGUUAUUCUUAGAGUUAAUUUUUACAAGGCUAUAGUAAACGCCUCAGUGUUUGCAGUUUCUAAACUUAUACUUUUUCCUGGAAAGUACAUGGCUCAUUUUUCCACGUUCUUGGUCCAGGGUGGAAUAAAAAUAUUAACUCGCAUCGUACCUGUAAAAACUUCGAAAUUUCCUCUUCGCUGAAUGGGUGUCUUCGGAGUGAACUGUGUCCGGAAGGAGUUGAUUUCUAAACGUAAUGGAUACCAAUUCAUUUGAUUGCUGACGCUUGAUUGAAACGCCUCGGAUGGCUUUUGAAGCAUCUCCGUUUCAUUUAACACUGUUUGCAGUAGUGUUAGUGGGAAUAUCUUCCGACGUUGAGGCUGCUAGACGGGACUUCAAUUCUUUCCCCAUUUACAAUGAUUCAAUUGCCGUGGUCAUCGACUCUGACUUUCUCGACGUCGAAAAUUCGAAAAUACUGGACACCGUCCAGUUCAUCGUCAGUGCCGCCAAGCGACAAUACGCCUCCAAAGGCACGUUAGCCGUCGAAUACUUUACCAAUACAAAAAUCGUUUUGAGAAAAGGUUCGUCCAACUCUCGUUCU